ensembl:lncRNA
UUUCCCCAAAUUCUCCAAAAUUCUACAAAUUCUCCCCAAAUCUCCCCAAUUUUUCCCUAAAUUCCUCAAACAUCCACAAAAAUUCCCAAAAAAUUCCCCGAAAAAUCGCCCAAAAUCCACAAAAAUCCCCAAAAAUCCCCAAAUAUGCCCCAAAAUCCCAAAAAGUUCCCCCAAAAAAAUCCCCAAAAAAUCCCCCAAAUUCCCCCAAAAAUCCCCAAUAUUUCUCCCAAAAUUCCCAAAAACCCCCAAAAUUCCCCAAAAAUUCCCAAAAUUCCCCAAAAUUCCCCAAAAAUUCCCAAAUUUCCCGAAAUUUCCCCAAAUUCCCCCAAGGAGCCGCAGCCGAAAUUCGGGUCCAGAAUUUAUUGGGGUCGGAUUUGGGAUUUGGGGAAUUUGGGGAAUUUUGGGUGAAUUUGGGGAAUUUUGGGGGAUUUUGGGAAUUUUUGGGGAGAUUUGGGGGAUUUUGGGGAAUUUUGGGGAUUUUUGGGGAAUUUUGGGGAAUUUUUGGCAUCAGGAUUUUGGGAUUUUGGGAAUUUUGGGGACUUCUUUUGAUUUUUGGGAUUUUGGGAUUAUUUGGGAAUAUUGGGGGAUUUUUGGGGUAGGAAUUGCAGAUUUUGGGAUUUUUGGGCAUUUUUGGGGAAUUUUUGGGGGGGAAUUGGGGAUUUGGGGAUUUUUUUUGGGAUUUGGGGAUUUUUUGGGAUUUUUUUUUUAAGAUUUUUGGGAUUUUCGGGGAUUUUUUUGGAUUUGGGGAUUUUUUGGGAUUUUGGGAUUUUGGGAUUUUUUGGGAUUUUGGGAUUUGGGGAUUUUUAAAAUUUUUGGAAUGGGAAUUAUGGAUUUUGGGAUUUUGGAAUUUUUAGGACAGGGAUUGGGGAUUUUGGGGAUUUUUUGGGGAUUUUUUGGAAAUUUUUUAUUUCGGGGAUUUUCUUGGAUUUUGGGAUUUUUUUGGGAUUUUUGGGGUUUUUGUGAUUUUGGGGAUUUUUUGGGAUUUUUGGGGUUUUGGGAUUUUUUGGAUGUUUUUUAUUUUUGGGAUUUUGGGAAUUUUGGACUUUUGGGGAUUUUUGGGACGUUUUGGGAUUUUUUGGAAUAUUUGGGAAAUUUUGGGAUGGGAAUUGUGGAUUUUGGGAUUUUUAAAGGAUUUUUGGGAUAUUUAGGACAGGGAUUGGGGAUUUUUAAGAUUUGGGGUUUUUUUUUUGAAUUUUUGGGCGAUUUUGGGGAUUUUUUGGGAUUUUUUGGGAUUUUUUGGAUGUUUUUUAUUUUGGGGAUUUUGGGGGUUUUUUUGGAUAUUUUGGGGGUAUUUUUGCAUGGAUUUUGGGACGUUUUUGGGAUAUUUUU